AGCAAGCACCGGCUAACUCUGAGCCAGCAGCCGCGGUAAGACAGAGGGUGCAAACGUUGUUCGGAAUUACUGGGCGUAAAGCGCGUGUAGGCGGCUUGGCAAGUCGGGUGUGAAAGCCCUGGGCUCAACCUAGGAAGUGCACUCGAAACUGCCUCGCUGGAAUGCCGGAGAGGAAAGCGGAAUUCUCGGUGUAGAGGUGAAAUUCGUAGAUAUCAAGUGGAACACCGGUGGCGAAGGCGGCCUUCUGGACGGUGACUGACGCUGAGACGCGAAAGAGUGGGGAGCAAACAGGAUUAGAUACCCUGGUAGUCCACGCCGUAAACGAUGAGUGCUAGGUGUCACGGGCUUUGACCCUCGUGGUGCCGAAGCUAACGCGUUAAGCACUCCGCCUGGGGAGUACGGCCGCAAGGCUAAAACUCAAAGGAAUUGACGGGGGCCCGCACAAGCGGUGGAGCAUGUGGUUUAAUUCGAUGCAACGCGCAGAACCUUACCCGGGCUAGAAAACACAGGAAUCCGGGUGAAAACUCGGGGUGCCCUUCGGGGAACCUGUGGUUAGGUGCUGCAUGGCUGUCGUCAGCUCGUGUCGUGAGAUGUUGGGUUAAGACCCGCAACGAGCGCAACCCCUGCCGUUAGUUGCCAGCAUUAAGUUGGGCACUCUAACGGGACUGCCGACCUUUAAGUCGGAGGAAGGUGGGGAUGACGUCAAGUCCUCAUGGCCCCUAUGUCCAGGGCUACACACGUGCUACAAUGGUCGGUACAAAGGGUCGCGAACCCGCGAGGGGGAGCCAAUCCCAAAAGGCCGGCCUCAGUACGGAUAGGAGUCUGCAACUCGACUCCUUGAAGGCGGAAUCGCUAGUAAUCCUGAUCAGCAUGGCAGGGGUGAAUACGUUCCCGGGCCUUGCACACACCGCCCGUCACACCAUGGAAGUUGAUUGCUCCGGAAGUGGCUGCGCCAACCCGCAAGGGAGGCAGGUCCCAAGGAGUGAUUGGUAACUGGGGUGAAGUCGUAACAAGGUAGCCGUAGGGGAACCUGCGGCUGGAUCACCUCCUUUCU
rnacentral:rRNA from 1 species